rnacentral:rRNA from 1 species
GAUGAGCCCGCGGCCCAUUAGCUAGUUGGCAGGGUAACGGCCUACCAAGGCGAUGAUGGGUAGCUGGUCUGAGAGGACGAUCAGCCACACUGGAACUGAGACACGGUCCAGACUCCUACGGGAGGCAGCAGUGGGGAAUAUUGCGCAAUGGGCGAAAGCCUGACGCAGCAACGCCGCGUGGGGGAUGAAGGUUCUCGGAUUGUAAACCCCUUUCGACCGGAACGAAUCCCCUCCUGGUAAACAAUCAGGAGGAUCGACGGUACCGGGAGAAGAAGCCACGGCUAACUCUGUGCCAGCAGCCGCGGUAAGACAGAGGUGGCGAGCGUUGUUCGGAUUUAUUGGGCGUAAAGCGAACGCAGGCGGUUUGGUAAGUCAGAGGUGAAAGACCACAGCUUAACUGCGGCAACUGCCUUUGAUACUGCCUUUCUAGAGUGCAUGAGGGGGAAGCGGAAUUCCGAGUGUAGAGGUGAAAUUCGUAGAUAUUCGGAGGAACACCGGUGGCGAAGGCGGCUUCCUGGCAUGUAACUGACACUCAUGUGCGAAAGCGUGGGGAGCAAACAGGAUUAGAU